rnacentral:lncRNA from 1 species
CAACAGUGGGACUAAUACAUAUCCUAAGCUCCCUGACAUGGUGUACUGAGGACAUAAUCUCACUUCUGCACUUCUGCCAAGAGUGAAUCCUGAGCAAUCCCGAGGCCAAUGCACUGAGGAUUCUUCCACAUCAAAAGUACUAAGCAUAUUAAAAACAAAAUGAGAAAUAGGUCUACAAAAUAGAAACACGUAAGACAAAUAAGAGCCACAUGGUCUCAUAUUAGAUUUUGGAUUAAAGGAAUAAAGGAUCAAUAAAGAACAUUUUUGAGAUAAUUAAUGAAAUUUAUUAUAAACUUUGGAAUAGAUAAUAAUAUUAGAUUAAUGGUCAAUUUCCUGAUUUUUAUAAUUGCACUUUCCUUGAACUUAGGAAAUAAACAGUGAAGUAUUUAGGGAUAAAAGGGAAUGAUUCUGUGCCUUAAUUUCAAAUGGUAUGGAA